GAUGAACGCUAGCGGCAGGCCUAACACAUGCAAGUCGAGGGGUAACAUAGGAAAGCUUGCUUUUCUGAUGACGACAGGCGCACGGGUGCGUAACGCGUAUACAACCUACCUUUUAGCGGGGAAUAGCCCAGGGAAACUUGGAUUAAUGCCCCAUAGUAUAUAGACUUCUCCUGAAGUUUAUAUUAAACAUUUAUGGCUAUUAGAUGGGUAUGCGUCCUAUUAGUUAGUUGGUAAGGUAACGGCUUACCAAGGCAGCGAUAGGUAGGGGUCCUGAGAGGGAGAUCCCCACACUGGUACUGAGACACGGACCAGACUCCUACGGGAGGCAGCAGUGAGGAAUAUUGGACAAUGGGCGAGAGCCUGAUCCAGCCAUGCCGCGUGCAGGAAGACUGCCCUAUGGGUUGUAAACUGCUUUUACAGAGGAAGAACCACCCCCACGUGUGGGGGUUUGACGGUACUCUGCGAAUAAGGAUCGGCUAACUCCGUG
rnacentral:rRNA from 1 species